UGAAAAGCAAUGAACAGAAGAGAUUAAGAGGAAUUGAUAGAGAAUCUAUGGAUGGUGGAAAUAGAUAAGGAAUCUUAUGAAAAUGAACUGGGAGCUGCUGUUUCUAACAGGAACAGACGUAUACUCGCGUUAAGAGAUGAGAGAGCCCUUAGGGGAAUAAAGGUGGUACCGCGAGUCAUUCGUCCUUUAA
rnacentral:ncRNA from 1 species